GCCCCCGUAGCCCAAUCGGCAGAGGCAGGCGGCUUAAACCCGCCCAAGUAUGGGUUCGAGUCCCAUCGGGGGCA
rnacentral:tRNA from 1 species